UACGGAGGGUGCAAGCGUUGUCCGGAUUUAUUGGGCUUAAAGGGUGCGUAGGUGGCCUUAUAAGUCCGUGGUGAAAGCCUUGAGCUCAACUCAAGAAAUGCAUUCAGGACUGGAUGGCUAGAGGACCGGAGAGGAUAGUGGAAUUCCCAGUGUAGUGGUGAAAUACGUAGAGAUUGGGAAGAACACCAGUGGCGAAGGCGGCUAUCUGGACGGUUUCUGACACUAAGACUCGAAAGCGUGGGGAGCAAACAGG
rnacentral:rRNA from 1 species